rnacentral:rRNA from 1 species
CCCCUAGAUGUUCUGGGCCGCACGCGCGCUACACUGAACAGUUCAACAAGUCUUAACCUUGGCCGAUAGGUCUGGGUAAUCUUUGAACGCUGUUCGUGAUUGGGAUAGACCUUUGCAAUUAUGGGUCUUCAACGAGGAAUUCCUAGUAAACGCAAGUCAUCAGCUUGCAUUGAUUACGUCCCUGCCCUUUGUACCCACCGCCCGUCGCACCUACCGAUUGAAUGGUCCGGUGAAAUCUCGGGACGGCGGCUUGGUCGCUUGCGUCCGACUGCUGAAACUUGAUUAAACCAUAUCAUUUAGAGGAAGGUGAANUCGUAACA